UGCUGCAACGCUUCGGGAGUGCGCAGAUACAUAUUGAAUACAUUACAGCAGAGAGGCUUCAUCUAUAGUGCUGGAAGGUUUCGCUACAAUGCAGACGGAUGUGUGUUCUUCUUAACGCCUUAACAAGUUGGAGCACAGUAUCGGUAUCUCGAAAUGCAUGCUGCGACAAACAGUUUCUUCAUUUGUUUCCUCUCCAUACUCGUUCGUAUGUACCAAUGUAGGUAGGACCGGGGGCUGUAGACAGCCGCGGAGCACCUUUACGUGGAGUAAUCUGAAAGUUAAUUGGAUCGUGGGCCUUGCGACGACACUUUGUGUUUUGCAGACUCGACUCCCACAUUCUUUUACAGUGCGCGAGGAAGCGAGAGGACCGAUUUAGCGAUACACUGCCGACAAUGAACGUGGAAUUACCUCCAGUUGCAACAUGGCUGCUGCUUAGAUGUUUAUUGGAAAAGUUCAGCCCUGAACAUUAAGAAAGUUUUUAAAAUAAUCCACGUGGCAAGAAAAGAACUUUCCUGGCGUAAUUCAGCUCUGGAUUGGACUGGACUGGACUGGACAGGACUACACAGGGAAUCGGAGCGAGUGUAGCUCGCCGUCAUUCAGUUUGGUCCCAGCAGACCAACACCGAGGGCUUUCCGUGAACACUCUCGCUUUUAACAGCAUCUUCAUCUCGGUCAAAGACUUGUGAUCUUACAGUAGAAAAUGCAUUUCUCCAUCCCCGAGACGGAGGUUCGCUCCGAUGAAAAUGGAUCGACUUAUGUGGCUUACAAUAUCCAUGUGAAUGGUGUCUUGCAUUGUCGAGUACGUUACAGCCAACUCCUGGGCCUCCAUGAACAG